AGCCAAACAAUAUCUCUGUACAUUUUUUAGAGACAGCAUUUUGAAUUCAAGAAAAAGAAAAAGCAAAUCAAAAAAGGUUGACUCCAGUUAUUUCUACUCUGUUCUCGUGUUCUUAUUCAUUUUAUUUCUUUUAUUUUUGUUUAUUUUUCUGCAAUCGUUUAAUAAAUAAAGCGGGACUAAAAGGGAAAGGGGAAGAUACCUUACUGCUUCGGUGGGCUGGUGUCGGAACUCCGCCUUUGCCGUCGUCGGAGUCGAGCAAAAAGGGGCGUUUCAUCCCUUUUCCUUUUGGUCUCGCGGUUGAGAAGGCUUAGCCUUCGGGGACGCCGCAAAAGGGGGAGGCCUAGGGGCCGUUCUCGCGCAGCUCCGGCCACUGGCCAUGGAGGCGGAGAUGGUGGCCUGAGCUUUAAGGCCGAGAGGGGCGCAGAGAGGAGAGCAUUCAAGCUCUCUGUUCUCUUUUCCUGUUUCUUUUUUUUAUUUUUUUUAUUUUUUUCUCUUUUCAUUAGAGAAUGAAAUGGAGGCUACCAGAUUAGGGUUCUUUUUGGCCCUUACUUGAUGUGUGAAACGACGCCGUUUGGAGUCUGAUCAGUGGCUCCAAAACGGCGUCGUAUUGAGCUCUGACCCGCGCGGUGACCCGACCCAGGGGAAGGAUCCGCGUGUUUUCUUUAAAUGGGAUAUUUGUGCGCGUAGUCCCUCCGACUUUGUAGCGCGUUGCAAUUUGGUCCUGUUUCGCUAUUUCCUAUUUUUCAAUUUUGCCCCAGAAUUCUGUUUUUGUUCUAUUUUGACCCUCUGCUGCACUGCGUUUUGGGGCUUCGGGGUAUUUAUGAU
rnacentral:lncRNA from 1 species